rnacentral:rRNA from 1 species
GUGCCAGCCGCCGCGGUAAUACGUAGGGAGCAAGCGUUGUCCGGAAUUACUGGGCGUAAAGGGUGCGUAGGCGGCUAUGCAAGUCAGAUGUGAAAUCCCCGGGCUUAACUCGGGUGGUGCAUUUGAAACUGCGUGGCUUGAGUGCAGGAGAGGAAAGUGGAAUUCCUAGUGUAGCGGUGGAAUGCGUAGAUAUUAGGAGGAACACCAGUGGCGAAGGCGACUUUCUGGACUGUAACUGACGCUGAGGCAC